rnacentral:lncRNA from 1 species
AUAAAGUCUCCAAGGAUGAGAGCCUGUGCCAGAUCCGUCUUGCUGUGUAACUGGCUCUUUCUGGCCUACGUGUUGAUGGUGUGCUGUAAGCUCAUGUCCGCCUCCAGCCAGCACCUCCGGGGACACACAGGUCACCAGCAAAUCAAGCAAGGGACCUGUGAGGUGGUUGCAGUACACAGGUGCUGUAACAAGAACCGCAUAGAGGAGCGAUCCCAGACGGUCAAGUGUUCUUGCUUCCCAGGACAGGUUGCUGGCACGACUCGGGCUCAGCCCUCUUGUGUUGAAGCUUCCAUUGUGAUUCAGAAAUGGUGGUGUCACAUGGAUCCUUGUUUGGAAGGAGAGGACUGCCGAGUGCUGCCCGAUUACUCAGGUUGGUCCUGUAGCAGUGGCAACAAAGUCAAAACUACCAAGGUAACACGGUAGCAAAGAGAGAGGUGCCUCCACGCUGGAGGAUGGACGGGCUGCAGCACUCUCCUGUUGGGACUGCCGUCCCGGACUUUGUGGGAAGUUGUCUUAGAUUUUGCCCACGUCACAUUGGCAUCUCUGCUGUGAAUGGUGGUGUUUACUUAACUGUUCCAGCUCUCACUGCCUCGUGACUUGACUACAGUGAGUUACAACCAUGGGCUGCCACACACACAGCGGACAGCCCACCUGGAUUCCUAAGGAGCAUACCUCCAAGAGACUCUGGACCAGCAAAUUGGAAGUUGGAGAAAUGGAUCAUCACUGAAGGAAGAAGGCUGGGGCUGCAGCUUCUUUCUGCAUUUGCACAGGAGCACGGGCCUGUUUCUGAGGAUCCUCAUUCCCUACCUCCUGUGAACUUUUCCUUCAGCCCUGUGUUGGUCAUUUGAAAGCGUCCAAAUAACAAAACAUUUUAGCAGAACAUUUUUUUUUUUUUUGCAAAUGUAGAUUGAUGAACUCUGAUUAACUGGUGACGAAAACUUAUUUUAUAAACCUUGAGAAAUAGAAGGACUUACGUUGGGGUUACUGUGUGUGCAUUUGUUUCACUGCUUUUAAAUUCUCUGCAUUGUAAGGUCCUUUGGCAGGUCAGCAGAAAUAAAAUGCUCCCAUUGUAACUUCUGUGUGCCA